GACGAACGCUGGCGGCGUGCUUAACACAUGCAAGUCGAACGGAAAGGCCCUGCUUUUGUGGGGUGCUCGAGUGGCGAACGGGUGAGUAACACGUGAGUAACCUGCCCUUGACUUUGGGAUAACUUCAGGAAACUGGGGCUAAUACCGGAUAGGAGCUCCUGCUGCAUGGUGGGGGUUGGAAAGUUUCGGCGGUUGGGGAUGGACUCGCGGCUUAUCAGCUUGUUGGUGGGGUAGUGGCUUACCAAGGCUUUGACGGGUAGCCGGCCUGAGAGGGUGACCGGCCCCAUCGGGACUGAGAUCCGGCCCAGACUCCUACGGGAGCCAGCAGUGGGGAAUGUUGCACAAUGGGCGGAACCCUUAUACCGCAACGCCGCGUGCGGGAUGACGGCCCUCGGGUUGUAGCCCGCUUUCGCCUGUGACGAAGCGUGAGUGACGGUAAUGGGUACAGAAGCACCGGCUAACUACGUG
rnacentral:rRNA from 1 species